rnacentral:rRNA from 1 species
AAAAUGGCUCGUUGGUCAAGAGGUUAAGACACCGCCCUUUCACGGCGGUAACAGGGGUUCAAUUCCCCUACGAGUCACCAAUUAAAUAUGCGGGUGUAGCUCAAUGGUAGAGUUCUGGCCUUCCAAGCCAGCUGUGAGGGUUCGAUCCCCUUCACCCGCUCCAAAAAUGGGACCAUAGCUCAGCUGGGAGAGCACCUGCCUUACAAGCAGGGGGUCACAGGUUCGAGCCCUGUUGGUCCCACCAUUUGCGGCCUGGUAGUUCAGUUGGUUAGAAUGCCAGCCUGUCACGCUGGAGGUCGAGGGUUCGAGCCCCUUCCAGGUCGCCAAAAUAAAAUGCUGGUGUGGCUCAACGGUAGAGCAGCUGACUUGUAAUCAGCAGGUUGUAGGUUCGAUUCCUAUCACCAGCUCCAUGUAAAAUUAAUACGGAGGAUUUCCCGAGCGGCCAAAGGGGGCAGACUGUAAAUCUGUUGUCAUCGACUUCGGUGGUUCGAAUCCACCAUCCUCCACCAAAAAANUGAAACCCUGCACUUACAAGCUGUGGAAGCACAUUUCUUGUGUGACCGCGUACUUUUUGUAGAACGGGCCAACGAGUUACGUUAAGUAGCAAGGUUAAGCACUUAAGGUGCGGAGCCGUAGCGAAAGCGAGUUUUAACUGAGCGUUCAGUUACUUGACGUAGACCCGAAACCGGGCGACCUACCCAUGAGCAGGAUGAAGCGAAAGUAAAAUUUCGUGGAGGUCCGAACCCACGAGCGUUGAAAAGCUCGGGGAUGACUUGUGGGUAGCGGUGAAAUUCCAAUCGAGCCCGGAGAUAGCUGGUUCUCCCCGAAAUAGCUUUAGGGCUAGCCUCAAGGUGAGAGAUACGGAGGUAGAGCACUGAAUGUCCUAGGGGGUAUUGCACCUACCGAAGACUAUCAAACUCCGAAUGCCGUCAUCUUAUACUUGGGAGUCAGACUGUGGGUGAUAAGAUUCAUAGUCGAAAGGGCAACAGCCCAGAUCGUCAGCUAAGGUCCCUAAAUGUAAGUUAAGUGGUAAAGGAUGUGGGAUUGCACAGACAACCAGGAUGUUGGCUUAGAAGCAGCCACUCAUUCAAAGAGUGCGUAAUAGCUCACUGGUCGAGUGAUCCUGCGCCGAAGAUUUCCGGGGCUAAAACUUACUACCGAAGCUACGGCAUCAGUAAUGAUGGGUAGGGGAGCUUCCCAUACGGGUUGAAGCAUGACCGUAAGGACAUGUGGACAGUAUGGGAGUGAGAAUGUUGGCAUGAGUAGCGAGAUGUGGGUGAGAAUCCCACAGGCCGUAAACCCAAGGUUUCCAGGGGAAGGUUCGUCCGCCCUGGGUUAGUCGGGACCUAAGCUGAGGCCGAAAGGCGUAGGUGAUGGACAACAGGUUGAUAUUCCUGUACUACCGAUAACCGUUUGAGAGAAGGGAUGACACAGUAGGAUAAGCUAAGCACACUGUUGGUUAUGUGUGCCCAAGCAUUGAGGCAGUCAAAGUAGGCAAAUCCGCUUUGAUAAUGCUGGGAUGUGAUGGGGAGCGAAAUUUAGUAGCGAAGUAGCUGAUUUCACACUGUCAAGAAAAGUCUCUAUCGAGGUUAAAGGUACCCGUACCGCAAACCGACACAGGUGGGUGAGGAGAGUAUCCUAAGGCCAGCGAGAGAACUGUUGUUAAGGAACUCGGCAAAAUGACCCCGUAACUUAGGGAUAAGGGGUGCCACCAUCAGGUGGCCGCAGAGAAUAGGCCCAAGCGACUGUUUACCAAAAACAUAGGUUUCUGCUAAGUCGCAAGACGAUGUAUAGGAGCUGACGCCUGCCCGGUGCUGGAAGGUUAAGGGGAUCUGUUAGAGCAAUCGAAGCAGUGAACUUAAGCCCCAGUAAACGGCGGCCGUAACUAUAACGGUCCUAAGGUAGCGAAAUUCCUUGUCGGGUAAGUUCCGACCCGCACGAAAGGCGUAACGAUUUGGGCACUGUCUCAACAACAGACUCGGUGAAAUUGUAAUUCCGGUGAAGAUGCCGGAUACCUGCGACAGGACGGAAAGACCCCAUGGAGCUUUACUGUAGCUUGACAUUGGGUCUUGGUACUACAUGUACAGGAUAGGUGGGAGGCUUUGAAACCAGGACGCCAGUUUUGGCGGAGCCAUCCUUGGGAUACCACCCUUGUAGUACUGGGACUCUAACCAUAGGCCAUGAAUCUGGUCUUGGGACACUGUCAGGUGGGCAGUUUGACUGGGGCGGUCGCCUCCCAAAAGGUAACGGAGGCGCUCAAAGGUUCUCUCAGUACGGUCGGAAAUCGUACGUAGAGUGUAAAGGCAAAAGAGAGCUUGAUUGCAAGACAUACAGGUCGAGCAAGGAUGAAAAUCGGACUUAGUGAUCCGGUGGUUCUGCGUGGAAGGGCCAUCGCUCAACGGAUAAAAGCUACCCUGGGGAUAACAGGCUUAUCUCCCCCAAGAGUCCACAUCGACGGGGAGGUUUGGCACCUCGAUGUCGGCUCAUCACAUCCUGGGGCUGUAGUAGGUCCCAAGGGUUGGGCUGUUCGCCCAUUAAAGUGGUACGCGAGCUGGGUUCAGAACGUCGUGAGACAGUUCGGUCCCUAUCCGUCGCAGGCGUAGGAAAUUUGAGAAGACCUGUCCUUAGUACGAGAGGACCGGGAUGGACGUACCUCUGGUGUACCAGUUGUCCUGCCAAGGGCAUGGCUGGGUAGCUAUGUACGGAAUGGAUAAGCGCUGAAAGCAUCUAAGCGCGAAGCCAACUUCAAGAUAAGAUUUCCCACCGCAAGGGUAAGACCCCAGAAAGACUAUCUGGUUGAUAGGUCGAAGGUGUAAGUGCAGCAAUGUAUUUAGCUUAUCGAUACUAAUAGGUCGAGGACUUGACCAA